GCUCCGGUAGUAUAGCCAGGCCAAGUAUUCCGGCCUUUCGAGCCGGAGACCCGGGUUCGAAUCCCGGCCGGAGCA
rnacentral:tRNA from 1 species